rnacentral:piRNA from 1 species
UGACUACAACAUUCAAAAGGAGUCUACCCU